CCAGUGUUUGCGCUAGUGACAGUGCGGAUUCAGCGCUGCUUUUAAUCGGAACGUCAUUUUCACGCAUCGUGUUUUGCUUGUUUCUCAUAACUGGCGAGAGCAGAUAACUUCGAGGAUUUAGAUUGUUGUUGAGCAGCGAUGUCGUUUAUUGCCGCUACACUGCUGUUGGCGGAGAGUGUCCAAACAGGGUGGACGGUUGUUUUAAAGGUAUAUACAUUUGGCUGGCGUAGUUAUCAAAUAAUUCAAGGACUUGUGUAUUCAAAAAGGAGCAUCAAUAAAAAAGCUCUGAAAUAUUGAGGAUCGAUAUUGCUACAAAUUCAGACUUAUUACCGGCCUACUUAGCCGAUUCAAUGUGUGUGG